AAGGACACAAUUCUUGAGUAAUGCCCCGGUCCCAGUUAGGAAACCUGAACGGAAACCUCUGGAGACUUUGCGCCCCACCCAAGGUUUCCGUGCGGUUCCCGGAGGUUGCAGGGGGUUGCAGGUAGUGGAAGCAGGUAGGGAGACUGACAAAAACCUCCGGGAA